ACGAACGCUGGCGGCGUGCUUCACACAUGCAAGUCGAACGGAAAGGCCCUGCUUGCAGGGUCCUCGAGUGGCGAACGGGUGAGUAACACGUGGGUGAUCUGCCCUGCACUUCGGGAUAAGCCUGGGAAACUGGGUCUAAUACCGGAUAGGAGCCAUUUUUAGUGUGAUGGUUGGAAAGUUUUUUCGGUGUAGGAUGAGCUCGCGGCCUAUCAGCUUGUUGGUGGGGUAAUGGCCUACCAAGGCGGCGACGGGUAGCCGGCCUGAGAGGGUGGACGGCCACAUUGGGACUGAGAUACGGCCCAGACUCCUACGGGAGGCAGCAGUGGGGAAUAUUGCACAAUGGGCGCAAGCCUGAUGCAGCGACGCCGCGGGGGGGAGGACGGCCUUCGGGUUGUAAACUCCUUUCGCUAGGGACGAAGCUUUUUGUGACGGUACCUAGAUAAGAAGCACCGGCUAACUACGUG
rnacentral:rRNA from 1 species